CCUACGGGGGGCAGCAGUGAGGAAUAUUGGUCAAUGGACGAGAGUCUGAACCAGCCAAGUAGCGUGAAGGAUGACUGCCCUAUGGGUUGUAAACUUCUUUUAUAUGGGAAUAAAAUGUUCCACGUGUGGGAUUUUGUAUGUACCAUAUGAAUAAGGAUCGGCUAACUCCGUGCCAGCAGCCGCGGUAAUACGGAGGAUCCGAGCGUUAUCCGGAUUUAUUGGGUUUAAAGGGAGCGUAGGUGGAUUGUUAAGUCAGUUGUGAAAGUUUGCGGCUCAACCGUAAAAUUGCAGUUGAAACUGGCAGUCUUGAUUACAGUAGAGGUGGGCGGAAUUCGUGGUGUAGCGGUGAAAUGCUUAGAUAUCACGAAGAACUCCGAUUGCGAAGGCAGUUCACUGGACUGCAACUGACACUGAGGCUCGAAAGUGUGGGUAUCAAACAGGAUUAGAUACCCCAGUAGUC
rnacentral:rRNA from 1 species